CUUCUUCGUCAAAGUCCAAGAAUAGUAUUUAUUUUCAUCAUCGAGCUCCUGAUAUACACCAACAAUGGAGUUUUGGGAUGUCGAGUGAUACGAAUCGUCAUGUAUAAUAUACAUGAAGGUUUGAUUGCAUCGUUUCACGUUCUUCUCCUCUUACACGUUACUGAAUUCAUUGAGUUAUAGCAUUUAACCAGCUUCUUAACUCCAUGGACUUAUCUCUCUUCUAGGCGUUGGAUCUCAAUCUAUAAAAAGUUUAAUGCUUCUUAUUCUCAUCAUUCCCAAAGUUCAUCGAUAUAAUUAAGAUGCCCAUUGAAGAUCCUUCAAUCAAUCCUCCCAGUACGGCUCCCUUUGGAACUUGGAAGGUCCGAAUGUUAAGAGGAGUUGGGCUCACCAAUGUUGGACAAGACGACAAUGAAGAAGAAGUGUUUCCACUACCACACACCUCACCAGAUCUAACGGCUUGAAUCGUAUUCUCUCUUUUUCUCUACUCAAUUGUUUUCUCGAGCUCUAUCUUUUUGUUCUCUUAUGGUUUUGUUCGCAGAGCUUUCAAUGAAUGACAACAUCCAAACAGAGGAUGCAUUUUAGCAGAGAAUUGGGUUUAGCUCCAAGACAGAUAAGUUUUGGUUUCAGAACCGAAGAACACAGAAAAAGGCACAACACUAUAGAGUUCAUAAUUGUGCAUUCAAGAAGCUUUCAAACACCAUAUUCCCCACCUAUGGUGAUGCUCCUGUUCAUGAAGACUCUUACUUUGAUGAACAGAAGCUUCGAAUAAAAAAUGCUUAGAGAAAAGCUCGAGAGGGUUUCAGCAUUGCAGCUAAAUUCAUGGGGAGGCCACUUUCUCAUCCCCCACCACUACUAAACCAGAUGCAGAUUUCUCCAUUAGAGUUACUCCACAGUGUUCCUUUGCUUGAUUUUGAUCUUCUCCAAGGAAGUUGUUCUUCAAUGGCUGUCUCAAGUUUACUGUCUUUACCAAACGUGGUUAUCUCAGACAUGGAUAAGUUUCUGAUGACCAACAUUGCUGUGAGUCUGUGCCCGCUAUGGAAGAAUUGCUUAGGCUUACACAAAAACAUAUGAGCCUAUGUGGAUCAAAACAGAUGGAUGCCUAGACGUUGUCAGUCUAAAAAGCUAUGAGAAUGCAUUCCCAAGAUUAAGUAGUCAUGGAGGAAAGAACCACAACCUUUGAGUGGAAGCAACCAGAUCUCCUAGCAUUUCUUCACUAAUGCAGUGACAGUGUGACACUUGUGUAGAUGCUCAUGGACUCUUUUUCAGGCCAAAGCUGCAGAGCCUUUUCCUUCAGUCGUUGCAGCAUCUAAAACUCUUGCAGUGGUUUCAUCUGGAUUGCGUGGAGAUCACGGAGAUUCCUUACAUUUUGACACAAUAAUGCUACAGAAAUCUAUGAACAUAAAAUAUACUUUUUUUUUUGGGCAACGAACAUAAAAUAUACUCCGACUCUUGCUUUUCAUGUUACCACUUCAUUAAGAAGCUAUCCGGCGAUUUGAUACUU